rnacentral:miRNA from 1 species
GAGGGAGAGCUGCGCAGCGCCCCUUCAGCGAAGCGGGAGGAGGAACAGAAGGGGCUCCGUUCUCCUCCCGCUUCGCUGAAGGGGCGCUGCGCAGCUCUACCUC